UGCAACCACUUUGACCGUCAAAGAUCCAGAUGUGCAGGCGCAGGUUGAUCUGGUCUCCUGGGGGUCCGAAGCUGAUUUGCCACAGCAGCUGUGCUCCUCAUGGCCGCCCGUCCUUCGAUUGGUGCCUCAACGGAACCACAAAGGUUGAGGGUGGAUCGUCUCUUUCUUACGAAAGGAUCCGUUGACGCCGCCGACAGUUUCUCCUGCGCUUACCAGAGCCGCCGCUCCCCUGCAGUGUGUGAGUCCCCCCCCCUCAUGACACGACCACAGCCGCCGGGAUCCAUGUGAUGUCACUCACGCUGGCUGCUGAGGAGAAGGACGCGUCCACUGUGCAAGUGUUCCGGGGAUGAAGAUUGAUGAACACACUAAUACAUCUUGAUACGUUUUUCUGUGAGUGCAGGUUGAAUGGAAGAAGAAGACGUCUAUUGUGCUACCGGUGCUACUUUUCUAAUGUUAGUUAAAGUGUUACCCACCUUCGCAUCCCCCACAAUGUUCUAUGGUACAUUGUCAGUGUAAUGCUGCUUAUGCGUGAAGCAAAAACACGUGUGUGUUGUCAGCUUUAAAGAGAUGAUGUAAGUCACUCUUGUUUACUGUGCACAACAUUGAUUCAUCUCAUUUACAGAAUUUGCAGCAUAAUGUCAAGAAAAGAGACUCCAAAAGCAGGAGGACAGGGAAAAUAUCCUGGUCUGUUUUUGAAAUGUAUUUAUUUAUAUUAUUAUUAUUUUUAAUUUCCUGAAUAACUUUGGCAAUGGUGCCCUUUUGUUUUGGGUUGAGCAGUAAGAGAAAUGUCUCAAAGGAGUGAAAAGAAUGCGCUAUUUAAACAGACUAACAGCAUUUUACAGGCCGACUUGUUGUCAUGGUGGAAAACAAGAAGUAGACGUAGUUGUCAAAUUCCAAAUGUUUUAUUUUAAUUUAUAUCUCAGUCCUAUUGUACGAUUUGUAUGUAAUUGAAGAAACAGUGUAAUCCAUGAAAAAGAGACCUGCUGCAAUAAAUAAUGAGCUUUAUAAGUGAAUGUUCUACUUGUAUCUCUUAUUAUGUUUAGUAACAGAAUCAUGAAAUCAGACAUUACAACUGAUAAUCUACUAAAAUAAGUCCAAUAAUUCUGUCACCAUUGUUGUUGAUUUUGUGUGAGGGAAGCUGCCAAAACCGUCAUGAA
ensembl:lncRNA